UACGUAGGUGGCAAGCGUUGUCCGGAUUUACUGGGCGUAAAGGGCGUGCAGGCGGUCUGUUAAGUUCAGGGUGAAAGCUCCCGGCUCAACUGGGAGAGGUCCUUGGAUACUGGCAGACUUGAGGAGGGUAGAGGAGAGUGGAAUUCCCGGUGUAGUGGUGAUAUGCGUAGAUAUCGGGAGGAACACCCGUGGCGAAGGCGGCCCACUGGGCCGGUGCUGACGCUGAGGCGCGAAGGCGUGGGGAGCGAACGGG
rnacentral:rRNA from 1 species